rnacentral:rRNA from 1 species
GACGAACGCUGGCGGCGUGCUUAACACAUGCAAGUCGAACGGUGAAGCGCCUUCCUUUUUGGUGGGUGUGGAUGAGUGGCGAACGGGUGAGUAACACGUGAGUAACCUGCCCCCUUCUUCUGGAUAACCGCAUGAAAGUGUGGCUAAUACGGGAUAUUCUGGGUCUGUCGCAUGAUGGGUCUGGGAAAGAUAUUGUUUCGGUGGGGGAUGGGCUCGCGGCCUAUCAGCUUGUUGGUGGGGUGAUGGCCUACCAAGCGGUGACGGGUAGCCGGCCUGAGAGGGUGGACGGUCACACUGGGACCGAGACACGGCCCAGACUCCUACGGGAGGCAGCAGUGGGGAAUAUUGCACAAUGGGCGCAAGCCUGAUGCAGCGACGCCGCGUGAGGGAUGGAGGCCUUCGGGUUGUGAACCUCUUUCGCCAGUGAAGCAGGCCUGCCUCGUUUGUGGGUGGGUUGACGGUAGCUGGAUAAGAAGCGCCGGCUAACUACGUG